UACGUAGGGUGCGAGCGUUAUUCGGAAUUACUGGGCGUAAAGCGUGCGCAGGCGGUUUUUCAAGUCAGAUGUGAAAGCCCCGGGCUCAACCUGGGAAUGGCAUUUGGGACUGCAAGGCUGGAGUUUGGCAGAGGAGACUGGAAUUCCUGGUGUAGCAGUGAAAUGCGUAGAUAUCAGGAGGAAUACCGAUGGCGAAGGCAGGUCUCUGGGCUAUAACUGACGCUCAUGCACGAAAGCGUGGGGAGCAAACAGG
rnacentral:rRNA from 1 species